rnacentral:rRNA from 1 species
GAUGAACGCUGGCGGCGUGCCUAAUACAUGCAAGUCGAGCGAACAGAUGAGGAGCUUGCUCCUCUGACGUUAGCGGCGGACGGGUGAGUAACACGUGGAUAACCUACCUAUAAGACUGGGAUAACUUCGGGAAACCGGAGCUAAUACCGGAUAAUAUAUUGAACCGCAUGGUUCAAUAGUGAAAGACGGUUUUGCUGUCACUUAUAGAUGGAUCCGCGCCGCAUUAGCUAGUUGGUAAGGUAACGGCUUACCAAGGCAACGAUGCGUAGCCGACCUGAGAGGCUGAUCGGCCACACUGGAACUGGGACACGGUCCAGACGCCUACGGGAGGCAGCAGUCGGGAAUCUUCCGCAAUGGGCGAAAGCCUGACGGAGCAACGCCGCGUGAGUGAUGAAGGUCUUCGGAUCGUAAAACUCUGUUAUUAGGGAAGAACAAAUGUGUAAGUAACUAUGCACGUCUUGACGGUACCUAAUCAGAAAGCCACGGCUAACUACGUG